rnacentral:rRNA from 1 species
AGUGAACGCUGGCGGUAGGCCUAACACAUGCAAGUCGAACGGCAGCACAGUAAGAGCUUGCUCUUACGGGUGGCGAGUGGCGGACGGGUGAGGAAUACAUCGGAAUCUACUUUUUCGUGGGGGAUAACGUAGGGAAACUUACGCUAAUACCGCAUACGACCUACGGGUGAAAGCAGGGGAUCUUCGGACCUUGCGCGAUUGAAUGAGCCGAUGUCGGAUUAGCUAGUUGGCGGGGUAAAGGCCCACCAAGGCGACGAUCCGUAGCUGGUCUGAGAGGAUGGUAGGCCAGACUGGAACUGAGACAGGGUGAGGGGACAUACGGGACGGACCAGUGCGGAGUGUGGGAAAAAGGGGGGGAGUAUGAUCCAGCCAUAGCGCGAGGGUCAAGAAGGCCUUCGGGGUCCAAAGCAGUCUUGCUGGAAAAGAAAAGUAGCAGGUUAAUAACCUGAGGUUCUGAGGGUACCGAAAGAAUAAGAACGGGCUAACUUCGUG